rnacentral:lncRNA from 1 species
CUUCAUGAUGGUCGGUUUCUCCUCAUAUAAGAGAGCAUCAAUCAACCCUUGCUGGAUAAGCAUGUCCUUCACCCUUGCCUGCUAUAAGAAAAAAUUACUCUUUCCAUCAAACUUAUUGAUCUCCAUCUUGAUUGAUCCUGUCUUCUCCAUCUUCAGUCUUGCUCACCACCACUGUAAUCUACGUCCUUAUACUGCCUCGCUCUAAUACCACUUGUUAGGUG